AAAGCAUAUAAGUGCGAAACCUGUCCUAAGAUUAGUUCUCCCUAUCAUAUUGAUAAUAAGGCUCGUUGUAGACUACGACGUUGAUAGGCCACAAGUGUAAGUGCAGCAAUGCAUUCAGCUGAGUGGUACUAAUUAGCCGAAUGGCUUUAUCAAUCUU
rnacentral:rRNA from 1 species